CUUGUCCAUACACAGAGAGAGCGGGAGCGAGAGAGCGAGAUAUGUGGAGAGGCUGUGGAUUUAACUACGAUAGAGGAAAGGAGAGUAUGGGAAAAACCCCUCAGACCCCGGGCAGAGUUCAGCUAGACACAGAGAGUAAGAGAGAGAGAGAUGAUGUAUUAUGUCCUUAAAGUCCAGGAGCUGGAUAGGACAAAUAGUCCAGAAACAGAGGAUUACGUCCGGGUUAAAAUAUGACUCAAGAUACCUACCCAAAGAUGUAAACACGGGGUCUAGCGUCUAAGGAUCUGGCUCGGCGCCUGCAUGAAGCUGCACCUUCCCUAACAAAGGAGGAAAGAGGGCGAGGAAGGAGGGAGUAAGGAAGUCACUGAACGAGUGGACAGGGCUGUGCUCUCAUAACAACCCACAGAUAACCCAAAGACCUAAUCACACUCUUUUAUGGGAGCUGAUAUUUUCCUCCCUCCAAUGCGAUGUUCUCACGGCUAGGUUCAUCUGCUGGUUCCAGCUGCAUUUGAAUGAACACACUGUCUCAAAUGGCACCCUAAGGGCACUACUUUUGACCAGGGCUCUACGGGUUCGGUCAAAUGUAGUGCACUGUGUCGGGAAUAGGGUGCGAUUUGGGACGCAAGCACUGUGAAGGCGGUCGUGAAAUGGAGACAUGCUCCUGAAUUCCUUACACAGAUUCAUGGAGUCAAAUCUCAGUCAUAAAGUAAGACAAAUCUGAGAAAAUGUGGAGGUGUUACAUUGACUUCUUUCUUUCUUUCAGAUAGCUGAAAAACGUUAUAGAGGUAACAACUUUCCCAUUUCUACACCAUUUAAAUAUCCAAACUCACUGUGGAGUUAUAAAUAGGUCCAUUUACAGUAAGGCCACCAUGGCAGCCCCAGAGGACAAACAAUGUGUCAGUCCCAAAUUGCACCUUAUUCUCUAUAUAGUACACUCUCUACAGUGCACUACCCAUAGGACUCUAGUCAAAAGUAGUGCACUAUGAAGGGAAUAGUGUGACAUUUUGGAAACAGACCAGUUAACAUUCGAGAAGGGGAUUUACAGUGGACCUCAUUGGCAUAAUCUCAAGGGAUUUGGUGAUUGCAACAACACCGUGAUGUCUAUCUCGAUCUCCUCCUCCCAGCAGACCAGACAAAAGUGAGGCGCCUUCAUGGCGUUCACCCUUUGAUUAUGUUUCUUUCGCUCCUUUGAUGGGAAUCAGUAAACAGUUCCUGAUACCUCCUCACACA